rnacentral:rRNA from 1 species
UACGUAGGGCGCAAGCGUUGUCCGGAAUUAUUGGGCGUAAAGAGCUCGUAGGCGGUCUGUUACGUCUGCUGUGAAAACCCAGGGCUUAACCCUGGGCUGCAGUGGAUACGGGCAGACUAGAGGCAGGUAGGGGAGAAUGGAAUUCCCGGUGUAGCGGUGGAAUGCGCAGAUAUCAGGAGGAACACCGAUGGCGAAGGCAGCUCGCUGGGACGGUACUGACGCUGAGGCGCGAAAGCGUGGGGAGCGAACAGG